UAUAUGAAAAAAUAGCAUGUUAUUUGAGAGAGAUUUUCAAUUAUAACGUGUAAUUCGAGAAAGUAGCAUGGUAAAAAAGAAAAUAACAUACAAUGUAAAAAGAAAACAUAACGACGGAGAUUCCAAGAAAGAAUCAAAAUCGAACAAAAUAAAAUGAGAAAUCUUCUGCAAAUUGAAGGAGAGAUGAUCCGUCAAUAUAAAUAACGUUUAGCAGCCUAGAUUUAUCGAAAAAGAGACUGAUGGUUGUGAUGGUGGAAGAUGUGGUGGUUGUGGUGGUGGAAGAAAGAGAGAUGAGUGGUGGUUUGUUCGGAUUCAUCAAAAGUUUUUCGCCAUGGAAUCAUCUAAGUGUUUUGUGUGAUUUUGUAAAAUAGCGUGUAAUACAUAUAAAAUUCGAUAAUGGGUAUAAAAAUAAUUACAAGUGAUGAAAGAGAGUGUCCUCUGAUACCAUAGCUACUUUGUUAAUUU
rnacentral:sRNA from 1 species